rnacentral:rRNA from 1 species
CUACGGGGUGCUCCAGUGAGGAAUAUUGCACAAUGGGGGGAACCCUGAUGCAGCAACGCCGCGUGGAGGAUGACGCAUUUCGGUGUGUAAACUCCUUUUAUAUGUCAAGAAAAUGACGGUAGCAUAUGAAUAAGCACCGGCUAACUCCGUGCCAGCAGCCGCGGUAAUACGGAGGGUGCAAGCGCUACUCGGAAUCACUGGGCGUAAAGGACGCGUAGGCGGGUUGGAAAGUCAGGUGUGAAAUCCUACAGCUUAACUGUAGAACUGCACUUGAAACUUCUAAUCUAGAGUAUGGGAGGGGGAGAUGGAAUUAGUGGUGUAGGGGUAAAAUCCGUAGAUAUCACUAGGAAUACCUAAAGCGAAGGCGAUCUCCUGGAACAUUACUGACGCUAAGGCGUGAAAGCGUGGGGAGCAAACAGGAUUAGAUACCCCCGUAGUC